GCCGCCGCGGGCUGCCGUGGGCCAGGCUCGCCUCCUGUGCGAGCGCGGCCAGUUCGGCGCCCUGCGCGGUGACGC
rnacentral:tRNA from 1 species